rnacentral:rRNA from 1 species
UACGGAGGAUCCGAGCGUUAUCCGGAUUUAUUGGGUUUAAAGGGUGCGUAGGCGGCCUUGUAAGUCAGGGGUGAAAGACGGUAGCUCAACUAUCGCAGUGCCCUUGAUACUGAAGAGCUUGAAUACACUAGAGGUAGGCGGAAUGUGACAAGUAGCGGUGAAAUGCAUAGAUAUGUCACAGAACACCAAUUGCGAAGGCAGCUUACUAUGGUGUCAUUGACGCUGAGGCACGAAAGCGUGGGGAUCAAACAGG